CAACUUCCAUGCAGCUGGACAAGUGAUGAACACUUAAUCAUGCAUGACAGUACCGCAGCCGGUGCUACGCACAUAGAGAUGCCCCUUGUUCACUUGCGGCGUUGUGUUCUUGCUGUCGUGCGUACACUGCCGCGCCCUCUUCUGCCGCCGCACGCUCACUAUUGCCAUGCACUCACUAUCGCUCCGCGAAAGUCUGGGUC
rnacentral:lncRNA from 1 species